rnacentral:rRNA from 1 species
GGCGGGGAUUAGUGGCGAACGGGUGAGUAACACGUGGGCAAUCUGCCCUGCACUCUGGGACAAGCCCUGGAAACGGGGUCUAAUACCGGAUAUGACUGUCCGCCGCAUGGUGGAUGGUGUAAAGCUCCGGCGGUGCAGGAUGAGCCCGCGGCCUAUCAGCUUGUUGGUGAGGUAGUGGCUCACCAAGGCGACGACGGGUAGCCGGCCUGAGAGGGCGACCGGCCACACUGGGACUGAGACACGGCCCAGACUCCUACGGGAGGCAGCAGUGGGGAAUAUUGCACAAUGGGCGAAAGCCUGAUGCAGCGACGCCGCGUGAGGGAUGACGGCCUUCGGGUUGUAAACCUCUUUCAGCAGGGAAGAAGCGAAAGUGACGGUACCUGCAGAAGAAGCGCCGGCUAACUACGUGCCAGCAGCCGCGGUAAUACGUAGGGCGCAAGCGUUGUCCGGAAUUAUUGGGCGUAAAGAGCUCGUAGGCGGCUUGUCACGUCGGUUGUGAAAGCCCGGGGCUUAACCCCGGGUCUGCAGUCGAUACGGGCAGGCUAGAGUUCGGUAGGGGAGAUCGGAAUUCCUGGUGUAGCGGUGAAAUGCGCAGAUAUCAGGAGGAACACCGGUGGCGAAGGCGGAUCUCUGGGCCGAUACUGACGCUGAGGAGCG